UACGUAGGGUGCAAGCGUUUGUCCGGAAUUAUUGGGCGUAAAGAGCUUGUAGGCGGUUUGUCGCGUCUGCUGUGAAAUUUCGGGGCUCAACCCCGAACUUGCAGUGGGUACGGGCAGACUAGAGUGUGGUAGGGGAGACUGGAAUUCCUGGUGUAGCGGUGAAAUGCGCAGAUAUCAGGAGGAACACCGAUGGCGAAGGCAGGUCUCUGGGCCAUAACUGACGCUGAGGUGCGAAAGCGUGGGGAGCAAACAGG
rnacentral:rRNA from 1 species